rnacentral:lncRNA from 1 species
UUGCACCACUGCACUCCAGCCUGGGCGAUACAGUGAGACCCAGUCUCAAAAAAAAAAAAAAAAGAGUCUUUUUUGAUGGUGGACAUCUUCCAAUGAGCAUUCACAUGGGACAGAUUUUUUUUUAGUUCUACCGUUGUUCUGAAAGCUCUAUGUAUGUUCCUCUUCCCUAAAAAUCUUUGUCACCAAGCCUCCAGAUUUAUUCCUUCUAAAAUGUUGAAAUUCCAGCUAAUUCCUUAGUUGUUACCCAGGAAACAAUGCAGAUCCUGGUCCGAGGAUGCAGCUCCUUCCAGGCAGCCUGGACUGUGAGGUGUGCUCCAUUGCUCUUCAGGAACCGUCCUUGAGAGGCGUUCCACAGCAGGCCAGACCUGGGGGGAGCAGGUGGGCCAGGCGGAAAGCACAGCACAAUUUGAGAGAUGCUGAGUACUCAUGACUCUGUGUAAGCACCUGAAUUCAGCCCUCAUGGUCUUUUCUGAGCUGUCAGUCAUUUAUCUCUAUUUAGUCAUUUUGCGAAUUGGAGUUAGCUUCCUUCCCUCUACACUCAAAGACGGCAUGUCAACAUUUUAGGCCUCUGGGUGGAAUGAACUCCCAGUUUCCUGGGAGGGAGCUGAUUGGCAUCUAUUCGCCUCUUCCUAGUUUUGUGGGGUUUCCCAGCAUGUGGAGUCAUAGAGAAAGACUGGUCCCACCUUCUAUGUAAUGCCCAAGAGAAUAGAUGACUCUCUGUCCACCCCCACCCUGGCAUCCAGGGCUUCUGGACAAGACCUAGGCUGGCUAAUUGGCUGCUUCCACAUGGGAUCCUGAAUCUGGAGCAAGUGAGGCAAAGCCCAGGGUGCUUAGAAUCCAUUCUCAGUGAGAGCAGCAGGACUGCCCGGGAGGGGAAUAGAGACGGGGACGACCGAGUCCUGCACCAGCAGAGAUGACGUCCGCAGGUGGCGGGGCAGCGCUGUGGCCGUGUCACUCCUCACAAAGCAGGGCUCUUGUGCUCGCAGCCUUCGAUACCGUCUCACUGUCUUGGCUUCUAUUUAUCUUCCAAGCCAAUUUCCAGCCUCCUACACACGUGGGGUUCUUCUGGUAUCAUUCCAGUGAAUUUCAUGUUGUUUUCUGCCCUAAGAAAACAGAGUUGGUACCUCUGCUCGACCAAGAAGCCUGAUUGAUACAGACUGAGAGCUGCAGGCUGUGUUUAUUUGCUUCAUUAACAAGAACAACUUAGGAAUGGCAACUUCCAUUGAUGAGCUUCCUACUUUGUUCUGCGGUUGGAAAACAAACAGUUGUUUCCCUGUUGACGACUGGCCACACUGGAGAGGUGAACAGUUCACUCUCAAGGCCAUACUGACUUGAACACUGGCUGUCUAGAAACAGAGAGGCAGGCAGCGGCAGACAGGAAGAGAGAUGGAGCAGAGUCCUCCAGCGGGAGCUGCACCUCGGAAGCAUCCUUAGAUGCGGCUUGGAGUUGGGAUCCUUCAAUUCCCCUCAGGAAAAACAUUAACAUCUGCCAUUUUUCUAAAUUGAAUGUGAAAGAUGAUCCUGACAGGCUGAACAAAGAUGCUUGCUCUCUGUUGUGAUGUUUGACAAGGGAAUCUUCCUUCAUUUUCUCCUCUGAUGAGCCUCUCUACCAGAUAAGCAGCAGCAGGAACCAAACGUUUAAGAAAAAUGUAAAGACAUUAUUUUGUCCAUCACUUAACAUUUUUAUGAACAAGUUGGGAGGUAGCCUGCAUGAAUGCCUCUGUGCAAUGGAAUGAAUGGCCGGAGAUCUCACCAUCCCAGGAUGACUUUGGGGAAGGAAGACCCAAACAGCCCACUAUCACAUGCUGUCCUGCCUGCCUCAGGCCUCCUGUCCUUCUCUCCCUUGUGACCUGCAAACUAACCUUGAGGACUCAUGUCAACUGUCACUGCAUUGGAAGCCCUCUGUGAUAGUUAAUAUUGAGUGUCAACUUGAUUGGAUUGAAGGAUGCAAAGUAUUGUUCCUGGGUGUGUCUGUGAGGGUGUGG